rnacentral:rRNA from 1 species
ACGAACGCUGGCGGCGUGCUUAACACAUGCAAGUCGAACGGAAAGGCCCUGCUUUUGUGGGGUGCUCGAGUGGCGAACGGGUGAGUACCACGUGAGUAACCUGCCCUUGACUUUGGGAUAACUUCAGGAAACUGGGGCUAAUACCGGAUAGGAGCUCCUGCUGCAUGGUGGGGGUUGGAAAGUUUCGGCGGUUGGGGAUGGACUCGCGGCUUAUCAGCUUGUUGGUGGGGUAGUGGCUUACCAAGGCUUUGACGGGUAGCCGGCCUGAGAGGGUGACCGGCCACAUUGGGACUGAGAUACGGCCCAGACUCCUACGGGAGGCAGCAGUGGGGAAUAUUGCACAAUGGGCGGAAGCCUGAUGCAGCAACGCCGCGUGCGGGAUGACGGCCUUCGGGUUGUAAACCGCUUUCGCCUGUGACGAAGCGUGAGUGACGGUAAUGGGUAAAGAAGCACCGGCUAACUACGUG